rnacentral:snRNA from 1 species
GUGAUCGCUUCAGCAGUACAUAUACUAAAAUUGGAAUGAUACAGAGAAAAUUAGCAUGGCCCCCGUGCAAGGGUGACAUGCAGAUUUGCAAAGCGUUCCAUAUUUUU